rnacentral:rRNA from 1 species
AGUAGAACGCUGAAGAGAGGAGCUUGCUCUUCUUGGAUGAGUUGCGAACGGGUGAGUAACGCGUAGGUAACCUGCCUUGUAGCGGGGGAUAACUAUUGGAAACGAUAGCUAAUACCGCAUAACAAUGGAUGACACAUGUCAUUUAUUUGAAAGGGGCAAUUGCUCCACUACAAGAUGGACCUGCGUUGUAUUAGCUAGUAGGUGAGGUAACGGCUCACCUAGGCGACGAUACAUAGCCGACCUGAGAGGGUGAUCGGCCACACUGGGACUGAGACACGGCCCAGACUCCUACGGGAGGCAGCAGUAGGGAAUCUUCGGCAAUGGGGGCAACCCUGACCGAGCAACGCCGCGUGAGUGAAGAAGGUUUUCGGAUCGUAAAGCUCUGUUGUAAGUCAAGAACGAGUGUGAGAGUGGAAAGUUCACACUGUGACGGUAGCUUACCAGAAAGGGACGGCUAACUACGUGCCAGCAGCCGCGGUAAUACGUAGGUCCCGAGCGUUGUCCGGAUUUAUUGGGCGUAAAGCGAGCGCAGGCGGUUUGAUAAGUCUGAAGUUAAAGGCUGUGGCUCAACCAUAGUUCGCUUUGGAAACUGUCAAACUUGAGUGCAGAAGGGGAGAGUGGAAUUCCAUGUGUAGCGGUGAAAUGCGUAGAUAUAUGGAGGAACACCGGUGGCGAAAGCGGCUCUCUGGUCUGUAACUGACGCUGAGGCUCGAAAGCGUGGGGAGCGAACAGGAUUAGAUACCCUGGUAGUCCACGCCGUAAACGAUGAGUGCUAGGUGUUGGAUCCUUUCCGGGAUUCAGUGCCGCAGCUAACGCAUUAAGCACUCCGCCUGGGGAGUACGACCGCAAGGUUGAAACUCAAAGGAAUUGACGGGGGCCCGCACAAGCGGUGGAGCAUGUGGUUUAAUUCGAAGCAACGCGAAGAACCUUACCAGGUCUUGACAUCCCGAUGCUAUUUCUAGAGAUAGAAAGUUACUUCGGUACAUCGGUGACAGGUGGUGCAUGG